GUGUGUACCGGUUUGCCCAUCCUCUACUGGAGGCGCGCCGGUUCUGCUCUUAACUGAGUGGAAUUCGGCCCCUCCUCGUUUACUUUGAAAAAAUUAGGGUGUUCAAAGCAGGCGUUUAUGCCUUGAAUACAUUAGCAUGGGAUAAUGGAAUAGGACUCUGUCUCUAUUUUGUUGGUUUAUAGAGUGCAGGGUAAUGAUCAAUAGGAAUAAUCGGGGUGGUUAGUACUUCAUGGUCAGAGGUGAAAUUCUUGGAUUCAUGAAAGACUAACUUCUGCGAAAGCAUUCCGCAAGGGUGUUUUCAUUGAUCAAGAACGAAAGUUAGGGGAUCGAAGACGAUCAGAUACCGUCGUAGUCUUAACCAUAAACGAUGCCGACCAGGGAUCGGUUGAUGUCCCUUGGAUGACUCAUUCGGCACCUUGUGAGAAAUCACAAGUCUUUGGGCUCCGGGGGGAGUAUGGUCGCAAGGCUGAAACUUAAAGGAAUUGACGGAAGGGCACAACCAGGAGUGGAGCCUGCGGCUUAAUUUGACUCAACACGGGGAAACUUACCAGGUCCAGACAUAGUAAGGAUUGACAGAUUGAGAGCUCUUUCUUGAUUCUAUGGGUGGUGGUGCAUGGUCGUUCUUAGUUGGUGGAGUGAUUCGUCUGGUCAAUUCCGAUAACGAACGAGACCUCAGCCUGCUAAAUAGUCACCAUAGCCGUCUAUAUGGGUGAAGCGUAGAUCGUGGGGGUG
rnacentral:rRNA from 1 species